AUGGCGUUGCCGCUUCACCUAAUGGCAGUGCUUCCUCUGCCGGUCUGGGCGAUCAAGCUCAUAAACAGAAGGUGUCGGGGUUUCAUAUGGAAAGUGGAGGAGGCCAUAAGUGGUGGGCACUGUCUAGUGCCAUGGGCGCAAGUCUACACGCCCAAGGAAUGUGGUGGGCUUGGUGUACUCAAUUUGCGAAGGUUUGGUUUGGCUAUGCGAUGUAGAUGGCCUUGGUUGAUGUGGGAUGAGAACCCCAGGCCGUGGCAUCUGCUGCCGGACAGUAAAGAAAAGGAGGUCACGGCGAUGUUCAGCGCUGCUACAACUAUUUCUCUCGGCGACGGGAGUGCGAGGUUCUGUACGGACAAUUGGUUGGCCUUGCAUAAUCAAUCUUGGAUAAGAGAAAUCGAAGGCGGCAUAUCUGUGCAGGCGCUCGCCCAGUACCUGUCCGUCUGGGAUAUGGUGCAGGCCACCAACCUUACGCCAGGUGCGCGGGAUCGGGCAAUCUGGAAGCUUACUAAGGAACAAGUUUUUACGGUCAGCAGCGCGUACAGAUUGCUCUUCAUGGCUAAUGUGCGUUUUGCAUGCAACAAACCAAUCUGGAGGUCAAAGGCUCCCCCACGGUGCAAGUUCUUCAUGUGGCUGGCCGUUCAUGGCAAAUGCCUGACAGCAAACAACCUUCUUCGCCGCGGAUGGCCUGCUAAUGCAUCCUGCCCCCUCUGUCUGUCGGAACCCAAGACCUGUACGCAUUUGUUUGUGCAUUGCCGAUACACGCAGCAGCUUUGGGGAUUGCUCAAGCGCAGGUUUGGGGCUCGCUUCAUCACGCCAGAGGGCAGUUUUAGCGGCAUUGAGGAGUGGUGGCUCCAGGCCAGAGCCAGCGUACCUAAGCCGAUCCGUCGCAACUUCGACACUAUUACUAUCCUCAUGCACUGGAGGCUGUGGAAGGAGAGGAACUCCAGGAUUUUUGACCAGGUGGCAAGCAGCGCAGAGAGGGUGCUGGAUUUGGUCUGCGAGGAUAUUGCUAUUUGGCGUGCCGCCGGUUGUAUUGUUGAGCUCGGAGCCUAA
rnacentral:rRNA from 1 species